GAGUUUGAUCAUGGCUCAGGACGAACGCUGGCGGCGUGCUUAACACAUGCAAGUCGAACGGGAGUAUCGAAGAAGCUUGCUUUUAAGAUACUUUAGUGGCGGACGGGUGAGUAACGCGUGAGGAGCUGUCCUAUGCAGGGGGACAACAGUUGGAAACGGCUGCUAAUACCCCAUAAGCCGAGAGGUAAAAGGAUUAAUCCGGCAAAGGAGGCACUCGCGUCCUAUCAGCUAGUAGGUUGGGUAACGGCCGACCUAGGCGAAGACGGGUAGCCGGCCUGAGAGGGCGAACGGCCACACUGGAACUGAGAUACGGUCCAGACUCCUACGGGAGGCAGCAGUGGGGAAUAUUGCACAAUGGGCGCAAGCCUGAUGCAGCGACGCCGCGUGAGGGAUGACGGCCUUCGGGUUGUAAACCUCUUUCGCCAGGGACGAAGGGUGAUACUGACGGUACCUGGAGAAGAAGCACCGGCUAACUACGUGCCAGCAGCCGCGGUA
rnacentral:rRNA from 1 species